GGACGUACCUCUGGUGUACCAGUUGUUCUGCCAAGGGCAUGGCUGGGUAGCUAUGUACGGAAUGGAUAAGCGCUGAAAGCAUCUAAGCGCGAAGCCAACUUCAAGAUAAGAUUUCCCACCGCAAGGGUAAGACCCCAGAAAGACUAUCUGGUUGAUAGGUCGAAGGUGUAAGUGCAGCAAUGUAUUUAGCUUAUCGAUACUAAUAGGUCGAGGACUUGACCAA
rnacentral:rRNA from 1 species